AGUUUUCUCCUCCACCACCUCUGGUUAAAUAGAAAUUCAUCGUCGAUCGUGUCUCGACAUGAUUUAGAUAAUAUAUUUUAGCGAGAGAAUCUCAGCAUCUCAUAUACCAGGUACAAUAUCUGAAGAUGAGCUAAUAUUAGGGUUUAGCGUUUCGUCGAUUAAGAGAAACUUUGGGUACUUUUUUUAUUGAUCAGUGAAAGUUUGGGGUUUAGACGCCAGUGGGAUGCAACAGAUUCAAUUUUGGGUUUAGGUACGAACAAGUAAAGCACAUAUACGUAACAACUUAGCUCAGGGAUAGAAUUAUCGGAGCAAAUGCUCGGUGGAGGCCAUCUCUGGUCAGUAACUCGGUAAUGAUAUUUGAGGAGAAGCUACAAUACAUUGUUCUUAAUCUUCUCCAAGGCGGUGAUACUUCUAACAGAACAAGAAAGGAAUCCCUAGAUUCAUAUAGCGGCAACAAUCUUUACUUAUCUUCCAAGGAUUCUCAAAAGAGGGUCAUCAUUUCUUCUUCUUUGUGCUUUGAGUUGGUGGUGACGUACAAAAUAGAUGAUUGCAUCAAGCUUACAUCUAAUGUCAGAGACAAUCUUUCUCAUACUCUAGGUUCACAAAUGCUAGUGAUUUUGCAACAUCAAUUUACUCAAUACCAAACAGAGUACAUGGAAAGCUUCUUACAAUGCGCAUGUGGAACAAUACUCAAAGAAUUGAAGAUAUAGACUUUACAGCUCAAGAUUUCUGGAUUAGUUUUGAGCUGAGAGGUGACUUGAUGGAGAGAGGAAAUGCUGCAGCUAAAGUAGCAGAAAUGUUGGCAAAGUUCUCACUCUAAUUGGUCCUGUAAAUGAAAAAUGAGAAUAUCAAGCUCAUGUUAUAGCUGACCUGACUACAUCUUUGGUGCAUCAAGUGAAGAUUAUCAUUCUAGAUGGAGUAGACAGGGAAACAAUUAAACUAAAAAUCUUCUUCAUGGUCAUUCAUCAUGGUACAUGUAUAAAAUGAUGGAAUGUGGAUGGUGAGCAUUCGGAUGAGAAUUGCAGACCAAGAAUUGCAGAAUAUAAGAAGAAUAUGCCCAAAGUCUAUGUCUAUAUAGAAGAUGGAGAAAUCCCAGAAGCUAAUAAUAUUGGUGCUGAAGUAAAUGAAAGAGCCGAGAAUUUGGCUAAUGCUGCUGCAGGAAUAAGAAUUUAUGACAGUGAAAUCGACAGAAUAGACUUCCAAACCAAAGGAACCAAAAGAAGAAGGAUUGAAGAUGAUACAGUCUUUGAACUUGAGGAUGUAAAAAUAAUUUUUAACCAGUAAAAGGAGGUUGAUUGCUCAGAAAAGGAAGAAUUUGCAAAAACUGGUGGUAGUACUGAUAGAGUUGGAAGUACAAAUGUGGGGGUUAUAGGAGAUAGAAGAGCUGCUGGUUUGUGCAUGAGAAACUUGUCAGAUGAUGAACAAAGAAGGCUGAAAGGAAAAAAUAUAGCUCCAGAAGGAAGUAGUGCCAAUAAGACAGAAGUAAAGCAGAAUAAGAAGCAAAAAAAUUGGUUUAGAAUGCUGAGUCAAUAUUCAGGGAUGGGUGGAAAAAAGAGUAUUUUUAUUAAUGAACCAGUUAAUGAUAAGGAAGAAAGGACAAGAAAUGAAUGCUGCAUGGUUGAGGAUAAUUUGGGAGUUCUCAGAGAAGGUGUAGGACAAGCUCUGUUGCAGCUAUCUAGACAAAGUGAGCUGAGUAAUCAAGAGAUAAAAAAUAUUGCUUAUGAAAGUGAAGAGGAUAAACUGUGUUGGAGCAUUACUUAAGCUGAAUCUGAGAACAGACUAAACAUUGACACUGACCAUGUGAUGGACAACACUGAAGUUCUUGCUGCCAAUUCUAUCCCUAUGGAACAUGCUCA